UGUAGAAAAUAAAGGGUGUAUAGCGGCCGCAAGAUACAGAGGGGAGAUUUGGACCCCUGCCCUUAAUCAACUUCACAGAACUCUGAUCUCACUAUCAGAGACCCUUUCCCCACUCGAUGAACUCGACCCCUUCUCUUUCUUUCAGUUCAAGAAGAACCGUCAUGUUUCGUCUAGAUUCAACUUUCAAACAGUGUCGUCAAGGGAAAGGAAAACACGCUCAGCAAAACCUAAUCAAAACGAUGGUGUUGUGCGAAACCUAAUUCAAACCACACUCAACCUUAUCAAAACAAAUGAUUCACGCAUGUUAUCAAACGACGCUUGUGUUGCUCACUGGGGAAAAAGAUUCACGUCGUCGUAUCACCGCUGCUGUAUUAUUGUGCGUCGUCUUGCUGUGUGACGCCUUCGUGGUAUUGCCGUUAUAAAACGAUGCUAUGUUGCUCUUGUUCAUAUUGUUGUGUUGAUGUGUUGCUCAGGUUGCUGCCGGCGCGAUUGAUAUCAAUGAAGAUGGUGAUGACGACGAUGUAAGUAACAAAUUUCAAGAGAACAACUUAAGUAAUGAGGAUGAAAUAGGUGAUGAACUAGAGGACGACAUAGGUGAUGAACUUCAAGAAGAUGACAUAAGUGAUGAAGAGGAUGAUGGAGAUGACGAUGAGUUCAAAAAAUUUAAAUGAGUUGGAUAUUGUUGUUUUAGGCUUCUACUUUAGCAUUAAACUUAAAGAAACUAUGUAUUUUGUCAAUUUGCUAGACUUAAACUUCUAAGUGUUA